AUGACCGGCAUCCGGAAUGGUUUCAAGGUCGUGCCAGCUACGCUCUUACCAAAGAAGAGAAGGUCAUUUUUUUUUGAAUGCCUGAGCAGUAUGAAGGUCCCGUCUGGCUUCUCGUCGAAUAUAAAGGGAAUAAUAAACAUGGCGGACAAAAAGUUCCUAAACCUGAAGUCUCACGACUGCCACGUGAUUAUGACGCAAUUGCUUCCGAUUGCUUUGAGGGGGCUCCUACCGGAAAAUGUUCGAGUAGCCAUUGUGAAGCUAUGUGCAUUCCUCAAUGCAAUCUCUCAGAAGGUAAUCAAUCCAGAAGAUCUACCACGGUUACAGAACGAUGUGGUCCAAUGCCUUGUCAGUUUCGAGUUGGUGUUCCCACCAUCCUUCUUUGAUAUUAUGACGCACCUCCUGCUCCACCUAGUCGAAGAGAUUUCCAUUCUCGGUCCUGUAUUUCUACACAAUAUGUUCCCCUUUGAGAGGUUCAUGGGAGUAUUAAAGAAAUAUGUUCGUAACCGUGCUAGGCCAGAAGGAAGCAUCGUCAAGGGCUAUGGAAAUGAGGAGGUAAUUGAGUUCUGUAUUGACUAUGUUCCUGACCUUAAGCCGAUUGGUAUUCCUCAAUCGCGGCACGAGGGGAGACUAAGUGGAAAAGGCAAGAUCGGAAGGAAAUCCACGAUAUGUAUGGACGGUCAUUCUAUGACUGAAGCACACCACACAGUUCUGCAAAAUUCCAGCUUUGUGGCUCCGUACUUCGAGCAACACAAGAAUAUUUUACGCUCGGACAACCCGGGGAAGCCUGAAUCCUGGAUUAGAAAGGCCAACAUGGAGACUUUCGGCAGUUGGUUGCGAAAACAUUUAAUGAAUGACAAUGAUGUUGGAGAUCAGCUGUACAUGUUGGCCAAGAAACCAUCUUUGACUAUAACGAUUUUCCAAGGGUACGAGAUAAAUGGGAAUACAUUUUACACCAUCGCCCAAGAUAAAAAGAGCACCAACCAAAACAGUGGUGUCCGCUUUGAUGCAGCAACCGAGAAUGGGCGAAAGGUCACAUAUUAUGGUUACAUAGAGGAGAUAUGGGAACUUGACUAUGGACCCUCCUUUAAGGUCCCUUUGUUCCGGUGCAAAUGGUUCAAGCUAACAGGAGGUGGGGUAAAGGUGGACGAGCAAUACGGAAUGACAAUGGUGGAUUUCAACAAUCUUGGUUACCUUGACGAACCAUUCGUCCUUGCCAAAGAUGUCGCUCAGGUUUUUUAUUUAAAGGACAUGAGUAGCAAACCGAGGAAACGGAAAGAUAAGAAAACGAUCAGUACAUCAUGCGAUGAUCCAAAGCGCCACAUUGUUCUUUCAGGGAAAAGAAACAUCGUGGGAGUGGAGGACAAGACAGACAUGUCAGAAGAUUAUAAUAUGUUUGGUGAAAUUCCGCCCUUCAAAGUGAACACUAACCCAAGCGUUAAGUUAAAUGAUGAGGAUACUCCAUGGAUACGGCACAAUCGUAAGCAAGCAGGGACACAAGGGAAGAAUUGA
rnacentral:rRNA from 1 species